UCUUAUGGAUGAGCAAAGAAAGCGGUUUCUUGAGAUGGAAUCAGCUCCUGGUGAAGCUGCUGUGAA
rnacentral:pre_miRNA from 1 species